ensembl:lncRNA
UUUUUAUUUUAAUGAUACAGUUUUAGUAUUUUUAUAUUGUCUUUUUAUUAUAGUUUUUAUUUGUAUAUUUUCAGUUUUUAUUUUAUUGAUAAAGUUUUAGCAAUUUUUGUUCUGUAAUUUUUUUAUUGCAGUCUAGUUUUAUAUUUUCGUUUUUUAUUUUAAUUAUAAAUUCAUAGUAAAUAUUUGUUUUAUUUUUUAUUAUAGUUUUCAUUUUUAUAUUUUCAGUUUUUAUUCUAAUUAAGCUUUAGUCAUUUUUUUGUUUUGUCAUUUUUUGUCAUAGUUUAUUUUUAAUUUUCAUUUAUAAUAAUAUAGUUUCACUAUUUUUUUGUUUUAUCUUUUUGUUGUAGUUUUUAUAUAUUUUUAGUUUUCACUUUAAUAAUAAAGUUUUAGUAAUUUUGCUUCAUUUUAUUUUUAUUAUAGUUUUUAUUUCAGUGAUAAAAUUGUAGUACUUUUUUGCUUUGUCAUUUUUUGUUAUAGUUUAUAUUUAUAGAUUUUCAUUUCUAAUUAUAUAGUUUUUGUAAUUUUUUAGUUUUGUCUUUCUAUUGUGGUUUUUAUUUUUAUAUUUUCAUUUUUUUAUUUUAAUGAUAAUGUUUUAGUUGUGUUUUUUUUUUGGUCAUUUUUAAUAGUUUCUUUUUAUGUCCAUAAAGUUAUUAUUUUAUUUUUAUUUCAGUUUUAGUUGUUUUUGUAAAUUUUUAAGGGUUUUAGUUAACUAUAACCCUGGUCAGAUCUGAAUUCAAGUGUGCAGUGGAUUGUGGGGGAAAACCAACGACAUGAGGAGGCUUUCUGACCUGGACAUGAAGAAGAAGAUCAAGUUCAAUCUCCACAUAUCUCAAUGAUCCUCGAGACUGAACACCUGCCCUCUGUGUUCUUCCUGUCAUCCAACACCUCGGCGUUACACCUGAAAUUAGAGCACACACACACACCCACAACACACACACACACUCUGAUGUCCUCCAGGCAUGUGCUCCAUUCAGCCGUGUAGAGGUGAUCUUUCAUUUUGACAGAUC